UACGAAGGGGGCUAGCGUUGCUCGGAAUCACUGGGCGUAAAGCGCACGUAGGCGGCUUCUUAAGUCAGGGGUGAAAUCCUGGAGCUCAACUCCAGAACUGCCUUUGAUACCGGGAAGCUCGAGUCCGGGAGAGGUGAGUGGAACUCCGAGUGUAGAGGUGAAAUUCGUAGAUAUUCGGAAGAACACCAGUGGCGAAGGCGGCUCACUGGCCCGGUACUGACGCUGAGGUGCGAAAGCGUGGGGAGCAAACAGG
rnacentral:rRNA from 1 species